ACUAUGGAGAGUUUGAUCCUGGCUCAGGACGAACGCUGGCGGCGGGCUUAACACAUGCAAGUCGAACGUGAAGCCACCUUCGGGUGGUGGAAAGUGGCGCACGGGUGCGUAACGCGUAGGCAACCUGCCCUUAGCUGGGGGAUAACCAUCGGAAACGGUGGCUAAUACCGCAUGAAAUCUUCGGGUCGCAUGAUCUGGAGAUCAAAGCUCAGGCGGCUAAGGAUGGGCCUGCGUCGGAUUAGCUAGUUGGUGAGGUAACGGCUCACCAAGGCGACGAUCCGUAGCUGGUCUGAGAGGAUGAUCAGCCACACUGGCACU
rnacentral:rRNA from 1 species